CACCGGCGGCUCGAGUGGUAACCGUUAUUAUUGGGUCUAAAGGGUCUGUAGCCGGCUGACUAAGUCUCUUGGGAAAUCUGGCAGCUCAACUGUCAGGCUUUCAGGGGAUACUGGUCGGCUCGAGACCGGGAGAGGUGAGAGGUACCUCAGGGGUAGGGGUGAAAUCUUGUAAUCCUUGAGGGACCACCAGUGGCGAAGGCGUCUCACCAGAACGGAUCUGACGGCAAGGGACGAAAGCUAGGGGC
rnacentral:rRNA from 1 species